rnacentral:lncRNA from 1 species
UUACAGACAUGUAGGAAAGGUUUUUGCGUGCCAGCAAUAUAUAAAAAAUGCAAGGAAGAAAAAUAUUGGAUGCUAUAUGAAGGAAAUACAUUUCCAACCAUCAAGGAAAAUAAAAUUAAACAUAACUGUGAAAAAUUUGAGAAAUAGUUCAAGAGAAUUGUCUUAUUACAAAGCUUUCACACCUCAGGCAAUAGAGAAGCUGAACCCACCUAUCAACGUCUCAGUUUCCCUUGAAAACAGAAGUAUUAAAAUUCACUGGAAACCUCCACCUACUAUUGGUUCAGCAAGGAAAAAGUGUUUUUUGUACCAAGUGAAAAUAACAGAUCAUAACAUUGCAAAUGUCAGUGAAGAGAACUAUAAGUAUCCAUUUCAUAAGCCAGCAAAAAGAUGUGCAGCACAAGUGAGGGUAAAGAAAGAGAUUUGCAUAGCAAACAAGAUCUGGAGUGAAUGGAGUGAACCAGUAUUUAUUCAUUAUGGUAAGUAAUGUACUUACUACUCAUAACUGUUAUCAUGGGUUGUGUUACUACCAUUCA